rnacentral:rRNA from 1 species
UACGGAGGGUGCAAGCGUUGUUCGGAAUCACUGGGCGUAAAGCGCGUGUAGGCGGCCUUUUAAGUCCGAUGUGAAAGCCCGGGGCUCACCCCCGGAAGUGCAUUGGAUACUGAAGGGCUGGAGUACCGGAGAGGAGGGUGGAAUUCCUGGUGUAGCGGUGAAAUGCGCAGAUAUCAGGAGGAACACCAGUGGCGAAGGCGACUACCUGGCCUGUUCUUGACGCUGAGGCGCGAAAGCUAGGGGAGCAAACGGG